rnacentral:rRNA from 1 species
AGGACGAACGCUGGCGGCGUGCUUAACACAUGCAAGUCGAGCGGUAAGGCCUUCGGGGUACACGAGCGGCGAACGGGUGAGUAACACGUGGGUGAUCUGCCCUGCACUUCGGGAUAAGCCUGGGAAACUGGGUCUAAUACCGGAUAUGACCUCCUAUCGCAUGGUGGGUGGUGGAAAGAUUUAUCGGUGCAGGAGUGGGCCCGCGGCCUAUCAGCUUGGUUGGGUGGGGUAAUGGCCUACCAAGGCGACGACGGGUA